GCCCAGUUGCCACAGAGGCCACAGCAGAUGUAUCUACUGGUAAAAGAGAGGACUUAUUGACAGAUACACAUCUUUCCUCAAUGCUGCAUCGAUACCUGCCACACUUCUUUAACGAUGACUCCAUUCCACCACAGCAGACAGUAGAGGGAACCACUGAGCUCUCAGUUGCUCCAGUGGCAAUAUCUAAUAUAAAGGAAGAGGACAGAUUCUAUCCUUUCUCCCUCCCACCACUGGCUCAGCGGUUCGUUGGCAAUUCAUUAAUUGUCCCAGGAACCUCCCAGCCUGCUGUUUCAGCCACAGAGUGCCGAGUUGCCAAAGAGGCCACAGCAGAUGUAUCUACUGGUAAAAGAGAGGACUUAUUGACAGAUACACAUCUUUCCUCAAUGCUGCAUCGAUACCUGCCACACUUCUUUAACGAUGACUCCAUUCCACCACAGCAGACAGUAGAGGGAACCACUGAGCUCUCAGUUGCUCCAGUGGCAAUAUCUAAUAUAAAGGAAGAGGACAGAUUCUAUCCUUUCUCCCUCCCACCACUGGCUCAGCGGUUCGUUGGCAAUUCAUUAAUUGUCCCAGAAACCUCCCAGCCUGCUGUUUCAGCCACAG
ensembl:lncRNA